rnacentral:lncRNA from 1 species
UUUGCAUCCCACAUGGGCUUUGAGAGAAGUACUGGAUGUCCUGGCUGUAGAGUAAAAAAGACUAAUUCCAUCAUGACCCAGCAGCUGGAGAGGUUCAUUUGGAAAAGACUGAGCCCUGAAUGAGAAUUUCAGUACUGCUUCCAAUGGGCACAAACGCUGGCAAGACUGGGAUCCCAGCUUGCAACAAAAGCAUUUCUCAUGCCGCUGGAAGAAAAGCCCUGCUCCGAAUCCCACUGAAGCCGACAGGAGGUCUCUCAUGCCAGGGCUUUGGAGCAGACCCCGCACAGCAGAGA